ACUCCUACGGGAGGCAGCAGUGGGGAAUCUUGGACAAUGGGGGCGAACCCUCGAUCCAGCCAUGCCGCGUGAGUGAUGAAGGCCUUAGGGUCGUAAAGCUCUUUCGCCUGUGAAGAUAAUGACGGUAGCAGGUAAAGAAACCCCGGCCUAACUCCGUGCCAGCAGCCGCGGUAAUACGGAGGGGUUAGCGUUGUUCGGAAUUACUGGGGCGUAAAGCGCACGUAGGCGGAUCGGAAAGUUGGGGGUGAAAUCCCGGGGCUCAACCCCGGAACUGCCUCCAAAACUAUCGGUCUAGAGUUCGAGAGAGGUGAGUGGAAUUCCGAGUGUAGAGGUGAAAUUCGUAGAUAUUCGGAGGAACACCAGUGGCGAAGGCGGCUCACUGGCUCGAUACUGACGCUGAGGUGCGAAAGUGUGGGGAGCAAACAGGAUUAGAUACCCUGGUAGGAUAGCG
rnacentral:rRNA from 1 species